rnacentral:rRNA from 1 species
CCCUUAGAGUUUGAUCCUGGCUCAGGAUGAACGCUGGCGGCGUGCCUAACACAUGCAAGUCGAACGAAGCAAUUGAAGGAAGUUUUCGGAUGGAAUUCGAUUGACUGAGUGGCGGACGGGUGAGUAACGCGUGGAUAACCUGCCUCACACUGGGGGAUAACAGUUAGAAAUGACUGCUAAUACCGCAUAAGCGCACAGUACCGCAUGGUACAGUGUGAAAAACUCCGGUGGUGUGAGAUGGAUCCGCGUCUGAUUAGCCAGUUGGCGGGGUAACGGCCCACCAAAGCGACGAUCAGUAGCCGACCUGAGAGGGUGACCGGCCACAUUGGGACUGAGACACGGCCCAAACUCCUACGGGAGGCAGCAGUGGGGAAUAUUGCACAAUGGGCGAAAGCCUGAUGCAGCGACGCCGCGUGAGUGAAGAAGUAUUUCGGUAUGUAAAGCUCUAUCAG